rnacentral:rRNA from 1 species
GACGAACCGAGCGAACGUUGUUCGGAAUCACUGGGCUUAAAGGGCGCGUAGGCGGGCCGCCGCGUCCGGGGUGAAAUCCUCCCGCUCAACGGGAGAACGGCCUCGGAUACGGGCGGCCUGGAGGGGGGUAGGGGCGUGCGGAACUGUGGGUGGAGCGGUGAAAUGCGUAGAUAUCUGGAGGAAUACCGGUGGCGAAGGCGGCAUCCUGGACCGGCAUUGACGCUGAUGAGCGAAAGCUAGGGGAGCAAACGGG